rnacentral:rRNA from 1 species
CUUGGUCAUUUAGAGGAAGUAAAAGUCGUAACAAGGUUUCCGUAGGUGAACCUGCGGAAGGAUCAUUAAAGAAUGAGGCCCUCCAGGCCUUGAUCCCACGCCUCUCUGGUUGUGCGCCCCCUCUGGGGCAGCACGCUUGGGAACACGUGAUUCUCACACCUGUGCACUUAUGAAACGAGAAACUAUGUUUCUCGAGUCUUAUCACACACAUUUGUAGCUAAGAAAGUCUUAAUUUCUUUAAUGAAAAAAAUACAACUUUCAACAACGGAUCUCUUGGCUCUCGCAUCGAUGAAGAACGCAGCGAAAUGCGAUAAGUAAUGUGAAUUGCAGAAUUCAGUGAAUCAUCGAAUCUUUGAACGCACCUUGCGCUCCUUGGUAUUCCGAGGAGCAUGCCUGUUUGAGUGUCACGUUAAUACAUCACCUCCCUUUGGUCACCUGAAGUGGAGUGUGGAAUUGGACUUUGCCGUGGUUGGCUCGUCCUGAAAUGCAUUGGCCCCUCUGAGGGCUCGCCUCCCUGGUGUGAUAGUCAUCUGCGCCUUUGGAGCUAGCGAGUUCUCUGGGGCCUUACCGUCCUUGGACAAUAUCAACUGAUCUCUGACCUCAAAUCAGGUAGGACUACCCGCUGAACUUAAGCAUAUCAAUAAGCGGAGGAAAAGAAACUAACAAGGAUUCCCCUAGUAACGGCGAGUGAAGCGGGAAAAGCUCAAAUUUGAAAUCUGGCGUCCUCUGGGCGUCCGAGUUGUAUCCUAGAGAGGCGUCUUCCGUGUCGGACCGUGCAUAAGUCCCUUGGAACAGGGCGUCAUAGAGGGUGAGAAUCCCGUUUAUGGCACGGACUCCCGGUGCUCUGUGAUGCGCCUUCAAAGAGUCGAGUUGUUUGGGAAUGCAGCUCAAAAUGGGUGGUAAAUUCCAUCUAAAGCUAAAUAUUGGCGAGAGACCGAUAGCGAACAAGUACCGUGAGGGAAAGAUGAAAAGCACUUUGGAAAGAGAGUUAAACAGUACGUGAAAUUGUUGAAAGGGAAACGCUUGGAGUCAGUCGCGUCGGCCGGGACUCAGCCUUGCUUCUGCUUGGUGCACUUCUCGGUUGAUGGGCCAGCAUCGAUUUCUUUUGCCGGACAAAGGCUUGGGGAAGGUGGCACCUCCGGGUGUGUUAUAGCCCCUUGUCAUAUACGGUGGAGGGGAUUGAGGACCGCAGCACGAAUCGGGGUUCGCCCACGCCACGUGCUUAGGAUGCUGGCGUAAUGGCUUUAAGCGACCCGUCUUGAAACACGGACC